rnacentral:rRNA from 1 species
AACGAACGCUGGCGGCAGGCUUAACACAUGCAAGUCGAACGGGUGUAGCAAUACAUCAGUGGCAGACGGGUGAGUAACACGUGGGAACCUUCCUAGAGGUACGGAACAACGCAGGGAAACUUGCGCUAAUACCGUAUACGCUCUUGCGAGGAAAGAUUUAUCGCCUUUAGACGGGCCCGCGUCGGAUUAGCUAGUUGGUAAGGUAACGGCUUACCAAGGCGACGAUCCGUAGCUGAUCUGAGAGGAUGAUCAGCCACACUGGGACUGAGACACGGCCCAGACUCCUACGGGAGGCAGCAGUGGGGAAUCUUGGACAAUGGGCGCAAGCCUGAUCCAGCCAUGCCGCGUGAGUGAAGAAGGCCUUCGGGUUGUAAAGCUCUUUUGUCAGGGACGAUAAUGACGGUACCUGAAGAAUAAGCCCGGCAAACUUCGUGCCAGCAGCCGCGGUAAAAGUCAACGUCGA